GUCCCCUCAUUGACUGAGUGAGUGAGUGGACGCAAAGGCUGCUCAAUCUCCUCCGUUUUGGGGGUUGGAUUGGGAUUUUGGAAACCUUCUCUUUCUCUUCUCUUCAAAACGGUGCAACCCUUGUUUCCUUCCUUCUCUUUACUCUGUUCUGUACAAGAGAACGGAUUCAGAUUCCUAGUGGAUCUCUACGUGUCAACCCUACUGGUUGCAUGAGUGCCACGGUUGCCUCUCUUGUCACCAAGGUACACCUUCGUCUCAGACUCUCAAUGAAUGAAGACAGACACACAAAGAGAGAAAGAGAGAGAAAUAUCAAACAAGGUUUUGGUUGGAGUUUGUGGCUGUGCUCUUUAGCUUUGUUUUCUUUUCUUCUGAUCUCUAUUGAUUUCAUGUCUUCAUUCUAAUCUUUCUCCUUUUUGUUUCCUUGAGUUUUUUCCAUGUUUGGUAGCUAGCAAACCCUAAUAAAAUCUCCAUAUUCAUAUAUGUUCUCAGAGUUCUGAUCAUACUCAUGAAGAUGGUAGGUGAGUAGAUCAUAAAUACUUGUUUUUUUUCCAUUAAUGGGUAUCUCUCUCUUCCUUCCUUCAGAUCUGAUUUUUUCUCCAAAGUGAGAUGCUUUUUUCCCUUUCCCAAUUUGGGUGGUUUUUUGUUUUCUGUUUUGGGACAUAGAAAUUGACAGAAGAGAGUGAGCACAGAGAGGCAAAUUGUAUAGGCAUACACUAUUGCUUUUGUGUGCUCACUGCUCUCUCUGUCACCUUCCAGUGCCGGAAGUUUGCUUCAUUCUGGCUCUGUUAUCUUGUUCCAAACCCAAACCCCAGCCCACCUGAAACCUGAAACCUUUCUUUCUCUCUCGACUGACUCUCUGAUGAAGGAGCUGAACAACACUGCAACACAGGUUAUAUCAUUUCUUUAUCGAACAGUGUAAGGCUGUCUCUACUGUUGCUUUGGCGCUUAUUUUUUUCCAUUUUUUUCUCUUUCAAUUGAUUUAUAUUAUAUUAUAUUCCAGUCAUCAAUACAUUACUCAUGAUUCAAUUUAACAUUAUCUAUGCUCAGUUGUGGUGGGGUUAUUGCAGUGGUUAAAAGUUGUCGUUUAAAUCUAUUUAUGGUCGAAAGUUCGAUUCUUAGGUGUGAUAUUUCUCACACCCGAGUUGAUAUUGCAUCAGUAGAUAGUGGAUGAUACAUAUAGUUAAACCGAAAACAUAAAAUAAUAUUGUCUGUUGUUGUUAAACUGAAAGCGUGACUCUUGAUGACUCUAGAUGAUUAUUUAAUAUCACGAAUUCACAUUUUUUAACAUAUCCAUACUGCUCGUAGAUUAGUUAUGGUCCUCACCAAUUUUCUUCCCAUCGUUGCUUGCUUUCUAUCUAUCCUCAUCUUCAUCUUCUAAUUUCAUAUUCACACCCAAUAUUUUAUAAUUCUUGUGCCCCAACUCAGUAAGUGGUAUAAUGUUGACUGAACUCCGGUUAUGCUUCUUGCAUUUCAAGUGGGUCUUAUUUGGCCUUCCAAAAAAAAGACUUUUGGUUAUGUGAUAAACCCUAUCAAGUGAGCUUUGUAGUGUAGGGUUGUUUUAUGCUGAAUCUGGAACUGCAGAAUUUCUUGUGCUUGAGUUAGAGCAUGUGAUCAUCAUUCUAAUUCCUCCUCCCCCUUAAUAUUUUGCUAUUCCUUUAUCUCCAGAUAUAAUCAAGAUCUUGGGUAUGAUUUAAUGGUUGAUUUUGUGCACAAGCUGUGGCUGGAAUUUUCAUCUGAAGUUUUAUGCAGAUAUAUCCUAUUUCUAUCACUCUCCGUCCGAUUAGAUGUUUUCAUUAAUGAAUUCAUACGAUAAAGAGGUUUUGCGGAAGACUCUUCAAUUGAAAUGAGUUCAGAUUGCUUACAUUCAAGGAAUCAAAUUCAUAUGUAUGAGGGAUCAACUCUAGUGUCAGAAUACGAUGUGGUAUGCAAGUUUAGUUAGCGACACAUACUAUUUUAGAGGUGAAAAUUGAAGAAUACAAAAUACCACAAGUUUCACAUUUUGAGUAUCUUAUCACCCAAAAAUAAGAAGUUAGAGGGAGAUAUCAAUGAUAGGAUCUACAUUGAGUGGAUGGAAUGAAUGAAUGAAUGUUUACUUAGUCUUGCAUAAAUAAAAUUGUUAGGAUAUGAGUGGCUAUAUGAGAUUAUAUAGAUUUAAGAAUAUAAUUAUUAGAGAUAAAUGUAGUCUUGUCUUGGGUGGUUUGAGUGUGUGUGCAGAAAAUAAGUAGAAGCAUGAGCGAGGAAGGUUUAUGAGAUGGAAGAUAAUUUAAUAAUUAGAGCUAAAGAGUUGUGGUUUUUAUAAUCCAUGUAGCUAACCUCACACAAUGGGAGAGUGUUUGGUUAUUUUAUUGGUAUUACUAUCCACACUAGUAGUUGCCUCCCUUGGCUAGUUAAGCAGGCUUUACGGUACCAUCCUGGUUAAUUGAUUACAACCUUCUAUUCUGAUUUCGGCCUUAACUAAAAUUACUUUGAGGGUGUUUGGUUCAAAAGAGGGGAGGGGAGGGAAGGGGAAGGGUGGGAAAGUGGUUUUAAAUCUUAUCAUGUUUGGUUAAGAGGAGGGGAGGGGAAGUAAUCUCUUUCUUGUUUGAAAGGGAGGGAUUUUAAAACAUAUUUACUUAUAUUGUCCUUGCUUCUUUUGAGAAACUGAACAUGAGGAAAGACAUUUGAAACGUUUCCCCUCCAAUUCCCUCCCCUUUUGGAGGGGAGACAAAAUUGAGUUAGGAGGGGUUUUGGCCCCCCUCCAUUCCCCUGCCCUCCUAAAAAUUGAACUAAACAUGAUGAGUUUAAAAAAUCUUCUUCCCUCCAUUCCCCCCUCCAACCAAACACUAUGUGAAUGUUUUGAUUUCAUAUAUACCCUUGUAUAUUAUAUAAAAUGAAGACAUUUUUACUCAUAGAUAUGUCCUUUUUUAUGGGGCUCAAUGAUUUCUAACUAGUAUAUUCUUAACAUGCUGUUUGGAAGUGGAGUUAUAUUUUAGUAUAAUUAGAUUUAUAUUCAUUCCAACACGGAGUUAAAGAAGUAUAUUGUAUUUUUUGCUAGUUUCGAUGAAAUUGUUUCCUUUUAUCCAUUCUUUUUACCCCUUAUUGGAUCACGUAAUUGAGUGUUUGGCAUGACUUGUCAGUUGAUCUUGUUUUUUGCUGUUUGCUUGUGACAUAUUUUGGCUUUUGUUUCAAGCUCCAAUUCAAUAGCUACUGCUGAGUUUUGUAGUUUAUUUUUUGGUUAGUUAAAGGGCUUCAAUUGAAUCUUCUUUUAGAACUCAUCCCGAGUGUUUUAGAUUAUGCUUUAUCUAUUUAUGCUAAACUUUUACAAAAUUUUCAGAGAGAUCUUUUCUAAUUUUAGCAAGUGAUCAUAUAGUGCAAUUUAUUUCAUGUGCAUCUUGGUGGAAUCAAAUCAUAUUGAAUACCAAAUUAUUAAUUUACCUCUUAUUUCAAUAAGACAUCGAAAUAGUGGUUGCCAAGAGUAUAGUAAAUUUAAUUGUAAAUUGUGCUUUUUAAAUGUGUUUUUUAUAACUUAGCUUAGGAAUAUGGUUAUUGACUCCUCUAAGCUAGCAUCUUUUUGUAACUAUAUUUUAGUGUAUACAUAUUUUGUAGGGUUUGGUAGAUAUAUCAGAAUGGGACUGAAGUGAAUGUGCAAAAAAGAACUGAGCAAGAAAAAGUGAAAAGAGUAAUACAGUUUAGUUCCUUGUGAACAGAUGGAACCAAAGAGAACAAAACAAAAUAUUUCUUGCUAUUAUAUCCACCUGCCUAAUGAUACCUCAGUGAAAUUUUACCAAAAUGGUCAAGAAUACAUUUCCUUAUUUAUAUCCUCUUGCAUUGACUUAUUUAUUAUGGACUGACACUUAAUUUUGGGUGUGGUAGUAAUUUUCCAUUUAUCAAAUGCAGAUUUGGAUGAGUAGUUGGAUUCAUCCUGUGUUAUCAGAUCAGUUAGAUCAUGAAGAGAAAACAAUGGCAUCCCUUGGAUUGCCAUUGUAAUGGAGAAAAUGUCUUGAUGAUUGUUAAUGCUAAAGUUUUGAGUUCUGGAUAUCCUGGGAAGGAAACAAUUCACUUUGCUGUAGACUAUGGGGAGUAGGAGAUUGUAAGAGAGUUCUUCAUCUGUGUCUCAAACUAUGGAUUGGAAGAGUCAACACAAGAAUAUCACAAAGCAUGUCAUCUUUAUCACGUCAUAUCGUUCAACCAUUUAUCUUGUUUUCAGUUGUUUAUCUGCAACUAAAUCACACAUUUCAAGGCAGGAAGAAUCAAAUAAUGAAAAGAGUAAGAUUGGGUAAAAGGACUGAGUUUGAGUCCUUCACAUCCAACUCCAACUGUAAUAAAAAUGAUUGGGACUUCCUUGCCUUUGCAGCUUAGAUCAGUGUCAAUGAAGUUAAAGUCUGCACUCUAAAUCUCUAAUGAUUCAUUUUUAGGGUGUUAAAUUCUAUUUUAUUUAUUUUCCAGUUACAACAAUGAAAUUUAUGAUUUUCGUUUGUA